rnacentral:rRNA from 1 species
UGGGGAAUAUUGGACAAUGGGCGCAAGCCUGAUCCAGCCAUGCCGCGUGAGGGAUGAAGGCCCUAGGGUUGUAAAGCUCUUUCACCGGUGAAGAUAAUGACGGUAACCGGAGAAGAAGCCCCGGCUAACUUCGUGCCAGCAGCCGCGGUAAUACGAAGGGGGCUAGCGUUGUUCGGAUUUACUGGGCGUAAAGCGCACGUAGGCGGACUUUUAAGUCAGGGGUGAAAUCCCGGGGCUCAACCCCGGAACUGCCUUUGAUACUGGAAGUCUUGAGUAUGGUAGAGGUGGGUGGAAUUCCGGGUGUAGAGGUGAAAUUCGUAGAUAUUCGGAGGAACACCAGUGGCGAAGGCGGCUCGCUGGACCAUUACUGACGCUGAGGUGCGAAAGCGUGGGGAGCAAACAGG